AGCUCAGAGGUUAAGAGCACUGGUUUCAAUUCCAGAGGAGCUGGGUUCAAUUCCCAG
rnacentral:tRNA from 1 species